rnacentral:rRNA from 2 species
GGCGACGACGGGUAGCCGGCCUGAGAGGGUGACCGGCCACACUGGGACUGAGACACGGCCCAGACUCCUACGGGAGGCAGCAGUGGGGAAUAUUGCACAAUGGGCGAAAGCCUGAUGCAGCGACGCCGCGUGAGGGAUGACGGCCUUCGGGUUGUAAACCUCUUUCAGUAGGGAAGAAGCGAAAGUGACGGUACCUGCAGAAGAAGCACCGGCUAACUACGUGCCAGCAGCCGCGGUAAUACGUAGGGUGCGAGCGUUAUCCGGAAUUAUUGGGCGUAAAGAGCUCGUAGGCGGUUUGUCGCGUCUGUCGUGAAAGUCCGGGGCUUAACCCCGGAUCUGCGGUGGGUACGGGCAGACUAGAGUGCAGUAGGGGAGACUGGAAUUCCUGGUGUAGCGGUGG